rnacentral:rRNA from 1 species
AUACGUAGGGGGCGAGCGUUGUCCGGAAUUACUGGGCGUAAAGGGUGCGUAGGCGGCCUUUCAAGUCAGAUGUGAAAUACCACGGCUCAACUGUGGGGGUGCAUAUGAAACUGGGAGGCUUGAGUGCAGGAGAGGGAAGUGGAAUUCCUAGUGUAGCGGUGAAAUGCGUAGAGAUUAGGAGGAACACCAGUGGCGAAGGCGACUUUCUGGACUGUAACUGACGCUGAGGCACGAAAGCGUGGGGAGCGAACAGGAUUAGAUACCCUGGUAGUCCACGCCGUAAACGAUGGAUACUAGGUGUAGGGGGUAUCGACCCCCCCUGUGCCGGAGUUAACGCAAUAAGUAUCCCGCCUGGGGAGUACGGCCGCAAGGUUGAA